rnacentral:rRNA from 1 species
GAUGAACGCUAGCUACAGGCUUAACACAUGCAAGUCGAGGGGCAGCAUGGUCUUAGCUUGCUAAGCCGGUGGGGGACGGCGCAAGGGUGAGGAAAAAGUAUCCAACCUUGCGUUUAAUCUUGGAACAGCUUCCUGAAGGAAAGAUAAUAAAAGAAGGCCUUCUUCAUUCGGCUGGUUACAAGGUUUAAGGGAUUCCGGUUGGACGUGGGGAUGCGUUCCAUUUGGUUGUAGGCGGGGUUACGGCCCACCUAGUCUUCGAUGGGUAGGGGUUCUGAGAGGGAGGUCCCCCACAUUGGAACUGAGCCACGGUCCAAACUCCUACGGGAGGCAGCAGUGAGGAAUAUUGGUCAAUGGGCGCAGGCCUGAACCAGCCAAGUAGCGUGAAGGAUGACUGCCCUAUGGGUUGUAAACUUCUUUUAUAAAGGAAUAAAGUCGGGUAUGUAUACCCGUUUGCAUGUACUUUAUGAAUAAGGAUCGGCUAACUCCGUG